UAAAAUGAUGAACAUGAGUGCAUUUGGCUCGAGACGUUUUUGUCGGUGUGGAAAAACCCAAGCUACCUUACUAUUUUUUAUCUGA
rnacentral:snoRNA from 1 species